CGCCUUGCCAGCCCGCUCAGAACUCAAAGGAAUUGAGGGGGCCCGCACAAGCGGAGGAGCAUGUGGUUUAAUUCGAUGAUACGCGAGGAACCUUACCUGGGCUCGAACGUAAGAUGACUGUAGGUGAAAGCUUACAUCUCUUCGGAGCAUUUUACGAGGUGCUGCGUGGUUGUCGUCAGCUCGUGCCGUGAGGUGUCGGGUUAAGUCCCAUAACGAGCGCAACCCCUACCUUUAGUUGCCAUCAGGUUAAGCUGGGGACUCUAAAGGAACUGCCUACGCAAGUAGUGAGGAAGGCGGGGAUGACGUCAAAUCAGCACGGCCCUUACGUCCAGGGCUACACGCGUGCUACAAUGGCCGAUACAGAGGGCAGCUACCUGGUGACAGGAUGCAAAUCUCCAAAGUCGGUCUCAGUUCGGAUCGGAGUCUGCAACCCGACUCCGUGAAGUUGGAUUCGCUAGUAAUCGCGCAUCAGCCAUGGCGCGGUGAAUACGUUCCCGGGCCUU
rnacentral:rRNA from 1 species